rnacentral:rRNA from 1 species
ACGGAAGGCAGCAGUGGGGAAUAUUGGGCAAUGGGCGAAAGCCUGACCCAGCGACGCCGCGUGAAGGAAGAAGGUCUUCGGAUUGUAAACUUCUUUUAUAUGGGACGAAACAAAUGACGGUACCAUAUGAAUAAGCCACGGCUAACUACGUGCCAGCAGCCGCGGUAAUACGUAGGUGGCGAGCGUUAUCCGGAUUUACUGGGUGUAAAGGGUGUGUAGGCGGGAUUGCAAGUCAGUUGUGAAAACUAUGGGCUUAACUCAUAGCCUGCAUUUGAAACUGCAGUUCUUGAGGGUCGGAGGGGUUACUGGAAUUCCCGGUGUAGCGGUGAAAUGCGCAGAUAUCGGGAGGAACACCGGUGGCGAAGGCGAGUAACUGGACGAUACCUGACGCUGAGACACGAAAGUGUGGGGAGCAAACAGGAUUAGAUACCCUGGUA